ensembl:lncRNA
CCACAGCUGCCCCACAACCGCCCCACAGCCACCCCUAAGUACAUGGCUCCUCAGAGAUUAUAAGAUUUUUAAUCUGUUUAAACUUCUUAUGUGGAGUGUUCUACAUUUAAAUUCCUGUAUUAGUUGUUACUAUAGACAUGAUAUUGGAAUGAGCUCAUUAAUAAACUGACUUGAUUUACAGACAGAACUAUUGUCAUACCUGCUGCCAUAAAAAAAACAAACCUUUUUUUUUAAUUAAUCAAGUCUUCUGACCAGUCAGAGUAGAAAAAUGUGACGUGGAUAUGGAAUAAUAACCACUUUUGAAUUUAUCAACACUAGCAUCAGGCUGUAUUUGCAUCCAGGCUGACAAGCAGUUGUGCUGUUGGAAACAUGGACAUAAAUUACAUAUUUUGAUCAAAGUGUCCUUGCUCACAUGUCAGAGCUUCCCCUGGGAACUCACUCAGCCCAGGAAUGGAACAACAACGUGCCCAGUUGUCUCCCCAUGACAGUAGGUCUGCUAAUGUGCAUCAAGUCAGGCACAAGUUAGUGUGUAUAUGAGUGUAACUAUUACAUUAUGAUAUUGAUUAAUUAUAACAUACUGUACUUGGCGGUCUCAGAAUUGAGACACAGCCCUCGGUGCUAUUGGCAUUUCUGCUGAAAAAAACAAUACAAACCAUCACAGAAAUUCUAAUGGAUGCCACUACAAAUACCAUUACAAUCCAUCAGCUGUUAACCAUUAAAACCAUUACUAUUAUUGGUCCUGAAUGGUAUCCGCUAGACAUAACAUGCCAGCAAUAGAAGGCAACAAAGUACCAGUAGUGACCCACAGGGACCGUUAGAGUUUCAAUUAAAACCAAUAUAAUUACGAUUAUCGCAAUUAAAACCAUUACAAAUUCUAUUAUUUGUAUUGUUUCUAUUUAUUAUUUGUAUGGUUUCUAUUGUUGUUGGGGGUUUUUUUUGGGGGGGGGGAUAGGGAAGAGGGUCUUCUCAGGCAAGAGUGAUAAAAUUCUCAUUCAAGACUUAAAUAAAUACAGACACAGACACUGUCAAGACUGGAGACACUGUACUCAACUGUGCAAAUAUUCUAUAGAAACCAUACUUCUGGUAUCUCUGCAUGUUAAAUCAGUUUUCAUGCUGCAUAAAACAGCAAGUUAUUUCAUAAGAUUUUUAAGGUACAUACACUUAUCUAGGUAGAUACAGUAAGUAAACUUGUACGUUGAUUUGAAAUGAAGACAUGACUUAAUCGGAAUAUGUUCCAAAUGUCUCCUUUUUUUAUUUCCUGUGAGUGUCAUAAAAGUUCAGGAACACAUUUAUGGCCUGUAGUGCCCUCUUCUGGACAGCAUAUAUCAAUGAUACAUAUUAAAUACAAAACUAAAUGCCUUACACUGGCUUUAAAUAGCUCAUGAACUAAUUGCAGUAUAAAGUGUAGGGUUUACAGACUGAUGCCGAGACACAGGUUGAAUAUAACCAUUUGACACUGUAGCUUUUUGCUCUUAAAGAUUUAACCAAUAGUAAAGACUUAUAAAAGACUUUCAAUUCUCUUUGGUCGUCUGAACAGUUCAUUCACAGGCUUCAAAUCCUAUGCAAGCUUUAGAAAUAUGUUGCAUAAUAUUUGGGAGUCAAGACGGGAGUCUAGACUUUUUUUUUGUUUUCCAGUUUAGGAGCAGCUAUUCCUCUGUAGUGCCUUAAGUGCUUUUAAGGGGCGAAAACUCAGAGGCUGGUUCACAGGUAUGGCAAAAAGGGCAACUUGUUCUGAUGGCUGUAGUGCAGUCAGGAUUGAAGGGAAGGGGGGGCUGACAGCACAGAACAGGACAGGUCAUUUCUAGUGUUUUCCACGGGAAAGUUCUAGUAAGAUGUCCAUGCACUGCUGUUAGAUGUAUCUCUUCUUUUGGAACUUCCCUUGUCACCCCACCUUUACACCAUGGUGGAGGUUAGCUGUUUCUGUUUUCCAGGGUAAGGAGGCGUCUUCAGAACAUUCGAAUCCCUCGAGGGCGCUUUGACCAGUCCAUUUUGUGGGUACGGUGGGGGUCUCUGGGUUUUAGCCGAGCUAAUUGGUGCUAGAGGAUAAGGAGGGUCGGGAUUCUUUGUAUGAUCUGUUCUAUUUCUUAGAUACUGGAGCUCUUUGACUUUGGCUCUGGGAGGUCUGGCUCGCAGGCAGUCUCCAUUGGCAGUGCUCCUUGUCCUCUGAAUCUCCAGAGCAGACGUAUGAUUCAUCUGGCUGCUUUGUGCAGACUCAACAGUCACCAGACCAUGAAUUUGGGUGGAUGGGUUCGUGUGGAUCUUUGUGGCAGAAUGACUGUCAGGGAGAGAGGAAAUCACAGCAGACAAGCUAUGGUCUGACAGGGAACGAGUGGUCUGUGAUUUGACAAUGGCACGUGUGCUGUCUCUUUGUGGUGAUUCUGCAUCUCUGUUUGCAUUAUGGACAAGCGCCACAACUCCAAUACGUUUGGCUUGGUGCGUGGAUUCCUGUGGCAGACCAUUGAAUAGUCCUUGCUCCUCUUCUCCCAGGUCAAUGUCGGAAGUCAGAACAUCAAUCUGUUGGACCACCU